AGGCAAUAAGAGAUCAGAAAGCUGGUUCCACUUCAUCUUGGAGAUGGAGGAAAGCUUGCCAGAACAACUGCACACCCCAUCCACUCCUCAUGUUCUCAGUUUGUUCUUCUCUGUGAUACAACCAGCAUCAUGAGAACAGCCAGCAGCAGCUCCAGCGUGAUGAAAUUUUCACUCCUUGACAAGUGUAAGAAGCCGAAAAACUAUGCCCAGCCAGAAGUUCUGUGUCACACCUUUGAGGUGCUGUCUAACCUCCACAAGCUGCUUCCGAAUCACCUGGUGGAGAUGCUUUAUUCCCACAAGAGGGAAGAGGACAAGAAAAAAUGUGAGAAUCCUGAACUCUCUGGCUUAGAAAGAAUCUUAGCAAGACAUCAGUUGCCAAAAGAGAUUAAUCUGACCCCAAAGCCGAACAGAAUGCCCCCGUGGAAAAGAAAAAUCAUCAACAAUGUAACUGACAGGUGGAAGAAAUGUCACUUGUUGAAGAGAAACACGAAAGAGCCUCCAAUGUCCACCAUAGUUGUCAGAUGGCUGAAAAAGAACAUGCAACCCACUGAAGACCUCAAGUCAGUGAUCUGUAGGCUGUCAGCAUUUGGCCCAAUUCAGUCAGUCACUGUUUGUGGACAUCAAAGUGCUAUAGUGGCAUUCAAAGACAUGACUUCAGCCUGUAAUGCUGUGAGUGCUUUUCAAAGCAGGACCCCAGGCACCAUGUUCCAGUGUUCCUGGCAACAACAAUUCAUGUCAAAAGACAAAACUUAUUCAAAAAAAUGUACCCAGAAGACACAGCCUAAGGAAUACAAGCAGGAAACUGAGAAAACUGCCAACAACAGCUAAAGGGACACAAACAGAGAAGUUUUGUUCACAUUCUUUGGAAUCAGAAGUGGAAUUCAAGCAACACUGAUUCUUCUCCUGAUGCUGUCCUGAACCAACACAUUGGGAUCUGCAAGGGUCCUUUGAGUUCAGUUGUCUUCUCAGAGACGCCAGGAAGCCUCAGUUACAGCCUAAAAAUUUGCUGCUUUGUCAAGGAAAUUCAUGGAAAAGACACCAAGUUAAGAAUUCCCUCCAUCCUCAUGGGAAGGGGACCCUAUCAGGUACUUUUAACCAAUCUAUGUGCUGCUAAAUGACAGAGCAUUGAGUCAUGGAUCCAUAUUUCUCAUUUAAAAAGAAGGCUCUUGAUCCUUCUACCAAGUCAACCGCCCAACUGGUCACUGAUGUCGAGCUCAAGUUAAUCAAACUACAGCCACCAGGACAAGAAGAAGACAACAUCUGAGGCAACCUGAGUGUUGGAUACGUCACCUUUCCCCCUGCCGAAGUCAUCGGAGGAAACAGGAAUCCUAUAAUCAUCCCAGUGACCAGCUUCCCUAAUGUGCUCAGUUGCUUGGUACUCCUGUUUGAUUCACUUGCUGUUGCCUAUUGGGUGCAUAUUCAUGCUCCUGAGGUUCAUCCUUGUUUUCUCCUCACUGGUAUAUCCCAUAAAUACCUUCCUAUUACCCUACCUUGCAUUUCCUCCCCUUCUUCUGAAUACUCACCACCCCCCUCCUCUGUGUCUUGCAAAAUCCCAUAGAAACAGAACACUUAGUAACACUCCUCUCUGCAGAAUAUACCAAAGAAAGCUUAAGAGUCUCCUCUGUGGCUCCCCAAAUCUGCCGGUUGGAUCAUACCACUCUGUCAUUACCUAAGACAGGUACUUGGUUUGACCACAUACCCUCUCUUGCCUGUAAACAGCUCCUUGAAUUUUCAUAACCUCUCAGGAUAAUUAUGUGCCCCUUCAGGUUGUGUUUUUGGCUGCAGCUACAUCAGCCAAAAAGAUUUUUUCUACCCCUGCCUCAGGUCCUGAGAAAACACAGGCAUUUGCUUUCUGGGUCAAGCCGUUGCUCCUGUCACUGUUAUUAAGUCUCUAACUCAGGGAAUAUAGAAUCUACAUCCCAGGGCCAAAAGAGCUCUACCAAUAAUUGAUGACUAUGCUGGUGAUAGCCCCUCAGAUUAUAAAGAUGAUAGCUGUGGAUACUCUCAAGGAUGUGAUUUACCUGAUGGGCUUAACUCUAGUGAAGGAUCUAAAUGGGAAAGGAUUCUGGGGUCCUGGUUUGGGCUAGACCCUGCUUGGAAUGCAUAUAGGAUCAGAAACCUUUCCUGCAUGGUUCGCAGAAUUGCCCACUCCACUGCCUGUACCAUCAGGGCACAACAGAGAUUUCCACAUUCCCUUGCCCGUGCGAUCCUGCACAACCACAUUGCAUUAGACGGUCUCCUCGUUGCAUGUGGUGGUGUUUAUGCUGUCACUAACACUUCCUGCUGCACCUGGGUAAAUACUUCCAUUCAGGUUGAAUUAGAAACAUCUGAGAUCCAAAGUUGGCCAAAUCCUACAGCUGGCUGUCUGAAAAGGACACCUUCAGAAAGCCUCUUGGCUGGGCUUGCUGGAUUAGAAUUCCAGUUUCCAGAUAUUUUCAGCCGGCUUCUUCUGGUAUAGGAUUCCUUCUGUGUUCUGCCCUACAAAUUGUAACGAAUCUCCUUGGGCUAAGCAUUUGGCUCCUCUUUAAAAUCAUUCUAGCCUGCUUUAACAGAUGUCUGCAUGAGACCCUCACCAGGAUCGUGCUGACCCAAGACCUUGAGACUUUAGACUCAUUCCAGCUGGAAACGGAAGCCAGCUUAAGCCAAGAGAUGUUAAUUCAUAUUUAACAGGUGCCUGAGUGCCUCUCAUAAGUAAAUGGCUCUAGUUGCUCAGUUGAUCACUGCCUUGUCAAAGGAUCUCUGCACGGGACUAGAAGAAUCUGGAACAGGUUGCCAGCCACUCUAGCACGGUGAUGGGAUGCAACCAACCUAAUCAAUCAUCAGAGCUGUCUGCUGACAGGUUUUGAUAAACGGGGGGCGUGGGGGGAAUGUGAACCUUGAAAGAGCCAAUCCCUCAGAUGAAUCCUGAGUGGCUAAUAGCCUAACUUCAAAAGAGCCAAAUGGCCAUUUGCUUACUAGAGGUCACACACAUACUUGGAGUUCCUGGAAAACCUGCAUGUCUGCUUAGGGGCUUUCAUAGCUGCCUGUUCAUGUUUGUGCUGCCUGAGCCAACCAAUAGACUGUGACCUAUGUCAACCCAUCAGAACUCAACAAGUGUUGACCAAUCAGAACUCACCAAACAUCAACUGGUCAGAGCUAACCAAGUUUGAAUCCUUUAUUUGACUAAGUGGACCUGAGUGGAACCUGGAUGGGAUCUUUCACUAUAAAAGAAAAACCUUCCCUUUGCUCUCUGGAACAUACCUUCAUUUUACAGUGAAGGCUGUGUCUCUUCAGUUUGCCAACUGUUACUGGAAUAAAGUCUCUUUCCUC